CCUACGGGUGGCAGCAGUGAGGAAUAUUGGUCAAUGGACGUGAGCCUGAACCAGCCAAGUCGCGUGAAGGAUGACUGUCCUAUGGGUCGUAAACCUCUUUUAUAAGGGAAUAAAGUGUGGCACGUGUGCGGUUUUGUAUGUACCUUAUGAAUAAGGAUCGGCUAACUCCGUGCCAGCAGCCGCGGUAAUACGGAGGAUCCGAGCGUUAUCCGGAUUUACUGGGUGUAAAGGGCGUGUAGUCGGGUUGUUAAGUCAGUUGUGAAAUCCUGCGGCUCAACCCUAGAAGUGCAGUUGAAACUGGUAGUCUUGAGUACAGGAGAGGUAGGCGGAAUUCCUAGUGUAGCGGUGAAAUGCGUAGAUAUUACGAGGAACUCCAGUGGCGAAGGCAGCUCGCUGGACUACAACUGACAGUGAGGCGCGAAAGCGUGGGGAGCAAACAGGAUUAGAUACCCCUGUAGUC
rnacentral:rRNA from 1 species